rnacentral:rRNA from 1 species
GGCUGAAAUUCGCCUUCCAUGAAGCCGGAAUUGCUGUAAUGGCAGGUCAGCAUACUGCCGUGAAUACGUUCCCGGGCCUUGUACACACCGCCCGUCACACCAUGAGAGUUGGGAAUACCCGAAGCCUGUGAGCUAACGCAAGAGGCAGCAGUCGAAGGUAGAAUCAAUGAUUGGGGUGAAGUCGUAACAAGGUACC